rnacentral:lncRNA from 10 species
AACUGGGGCUGGCGCUGAAUCAUGUACAGUCCUGGAGAUACAGCAGUGGACAAAACAGAAAGACAUUUAAAAGCCCUCUGUUCUCGUGGAGCCUGUAUUCUAGCUGAGGAGAAUCAGACAUUUGAGGUCAUUUCAGUAAGUGAGCAGGGCUCCAAAGGAAAUAAAGCAGAAGGUGCGAUGGAGAGAGCCUGGGAGGUCCCCUCUGAUGGGGUGACAUUUGAACAGAAGCCCCAACAAAGAGGAGAAGCCCACGUGCAAAGGCAGGGGGUGGGAAACGGUG